rnacentral:rRNA from 1 species
ACUCCUACGGGAGGCAGCAGUGGGGAAUAUUGCACAAUGGGCGCAAGCCUGAUGCAGCCAUGCCGCGUGUGUGAAGAAGGCCUUCGGGUUGUAAAGCACUUUCAGUCGUGAGGAAGGUAGUGUAGUUAAUAGCUUGCUAAUAUUUUGAACGUUAGCGACAGAAGAAGCACCGGCUAACUCCGUGCCAGCAGCCGCGGUAAUAC